AGCUCCAAUAGCGUAUAUUAAAGUUGUUGCAGUUAAAAAGCUCGUAGUUGGAUUUGUGGUGUACUUCGGCGGCCCGUCACUAUGUGAUGGAGCUUGCUGAAGUCGCCAUCCUUGGGUGGAUCCUGUGUGGCAUUAAGUUGUCGUGCAGGGGAUGCCCAUCGUUUACUGUGAAAAAAUUAGAGUGUUCAAAGCAGGCUUACGCCGUUGAAUAUAUUAGCAUGGAAUAAUAAGAUAGGACCUUGGUACUAUUUUGUUGGUUUGCGCACCAAGGUAAUGAUUAAUAGGGACAGUUGGGGGUAUUCGUAUUUCAUUGUCAGAGGUGAAAUUCUUGGAUUUUUGAAAGACGAACUACUGCGAAAGCAUUUACCAAGGAUGUUUUCAUUAAUCAAGAACGAAAGUA
rnacentral:rRNA from 1 species